UACAGAGGGUGCGAGCGUUAAUCGGAAUUACUGGGCGUAAAGCGCACGUAGGUGGCGACGUAAGUCGGGUGUGAAAGCCCCGGGCUCAACCUGGGAAUUGCAUUCGAGACUGCAUUGCUGGAGUACGGAAGAGGAAGGCGGAAUUCCCGGUGUAGCGGUGAAAUGCGUAGAUAUCGGGAGGAACAUCAGUGGCGAAGGCGGCCUUCUGGGUCAGUACUGACACUCAAGUGCGAAAGCGUGGGGAGCAAACAGG
rnacentral:rRNA from 1 species